rnacentral:lncRNA from 7 species
GUGCCCUCUGUCAUGGCUCUGAUUAUUGCAGCAGUCAGCCCUGGAUUUGUAGCAUGGCACUAGAGGGGAUGUUCUGCAGUGGAUGACAAGAGGUCUGGUAUUUGUGAUGGAAAACAAAAAAGUAGAUGUCGUGUAAGCCAGUCCACCUUCCUAUAGGUUUUGCAUGUUCGAAAAUGGCAUUUAUCUGGCACGUGCAUUUUUGAAGACUAACUUAGGAAACUUUAUUACCCAGCAUUUGGAAGUGUGCUGUCUAUCAGACAGCGGUUAGCCUGGUGACGUGCCUGAUCACCUGCUUCAGGAGCUGCCACUGCUGCACCACCUGCAGAGCAGAUCAUCUAUCUGUACACCCAUACAGCUGCGGGUGACCUAGAAUUACACAUCCUGAGAUCAUGCUGGACUAAAAUAAGCUGCUCCUCGUGUGGCUACAGCACAAUUUCAAGUGGCCUUUCCACCUCAGCUGUCAUGGAGCCCAAGGAAUGACUGAAGUAAAUGGAGACCGUGCUGGCUGGGCAGCUGUCUUCAGUCACUUCUCGCUUAGGCAACCCGGUGCGUGUGUUUGUGAAAUGCCACGCUCUCCCAGGGAAAUCUCUGCCAGUUCCGCACCAGCCUUACUUCUCCCAGCAUGUAACGCAAAAUCCUCUGAUGGAGCCAAGGCCCACUGACCUCUUGGUUACGGCUAGCAUAACAGUUUGUUCCUUUUUCUUUGCAGUGACUUGUUUUAUUUUCUGGAAGAAUGUUAUGUGUCAUUC